rnacentral:rRNA from 1 species
AGCCUGAACGCUGGCGGCGUGGCUAAGACAUGCAAGUCGUACGGGUGUAGCAAUACACCAGUGGCGGACGGGUGAGUAAUGUAUCGCUAACGUACCCCGGACUCUGGGAUAGCUGCCCGAAAGGGCAGGUAAUACCAGAUGACAUAUCCUUAUCGCAUGAUGAGGAUCUCAAAGGGAAACCGUUCUGGGAGCGGGCGAUAUCGUAUCAGCUAGUUGGUAGGGUAACGGCCUACCAAGGCGACGACGCGUAGCCGGACUGAGAGGUUGGCCGGCCACAUUGGGACUGAGACACUGCCCAGACUCCUACGGGGGGCUGCAGUAACGAAUCUUCCGCAAUGCACGCAAGUGUGACGGAGCGACGCCGCGUGUGGACGAAGUCCUUCGGGAUGUAAACCACUGUCAGGGGUUAGAAAGUUCUGAUCAACCCAGAGGAGGCACGGCUAACUCUGUGCCAGCAGCCGCGGUAA